rnacentral:rRNA from 1 species
UACGGGGGGGGCAAGCGUUAUUCGGAAUCACUGGGCUUAAAGGGUGCGUAGGCGGCGCGGAAAGUUGGGUGUGAAAUCCCUCGGCUCAACCGAGGAACUGCGCCCAAAACUACCGUGCUCGAGGGAGAUAGAGGAGAGCGGAACUUAGGGUGGAGCGGUGAAAUGCGUUGAUAUCCUAAGGAACACCGGUGGCGAAAGCGGCUCUCUGGACCGAGACUGACGCUGAGGCGCGAAAGCGUGGGGAGCAAACAGG